GCGAACGUGGCGAAAUUGGCAGACGCAGCGACGGUCAAAAGCCGACGCCGGUUGCAACUCUAGCUCGUGGGGGUUCAAGUCCCUCCGUUCGCG
rnacentral:tRNA from 1 species